UAACAAUUAAACAUGAAUUUAUAUUAACAUGUUAAGAUUUGUAAGCUGGGUUGCAGAGAUUUUUUUUUCUAAAGACAAUUUUCCCAUACAGCCCCCUGUUGCCCCCGACACCCCUUACCCUCCCUUUUGCGCACAUCUCACGCGACGUCGCACACGCCGCCGCCAAUCUCUUCCUUUCUGCUUCAGAUUGACUUCCCCUUCGCCUAAAGUGUGAGGUGACUGGGUUGAAUUACUUAAGUAUUAGGCUUUUAAGUUGAAGAAACCGAAGAAAGGUACACAAUUAAAUGGAUAUACAAGGGAGAGCAACGUUAUAAAUACCUCUAUGAUGCUGGAGCCUAGGAGGGCAGUUGCUGCUACACCCAAACACUUACAAGAUGCAAGGUGCAAACACAGCAAAUAGAUGGCGUCAGAAGAGAGAAGUUUAAAAUAUUGGAAGUAUGGAAAAUGCUUAGAAAUUGUUUGAUUGCACGAUAGAAUGCCCAGGGAACCGAUGUUCAGCAGGGGAGGAAUCAUUCCUGCCCUGAAAAUCUGCUUACAAGUUUGCCCAUAUUACUGGGUUCUGCUUGCCUUUGGGGUCUAAUGAUCAGUCCAAGCAAGUAGAUAUUCAUAGAGUUAAGCAACACACGUUCUUGUUGAGUACAGAGAGUUGACUCCCAGAGAACCAGUUUUCUGCGUAACAAUUUUCAUUUUUUUCCAUAAACCCCCACCCAGCAAUGCAUAUAUGUAUAUAGUCGAAGGUGACUGGAUGGACGACUCUGCUUCUCUUUCAAACCUAUUAGUGUGUUGAUAUUACUGCACUCCUUCCUUUUGUGCCCAGUGGUGUAUCACUUAGGUUUAGAUGGAAGGAGAAGAUAAAUUAUUUGUUUCAGGAGAAUCUGGCGUACAAGAAAUUAAGAUAUAAACCACUUCCCUCUGUUCAUGAAUUAACUGAAUUAUUCAACGAUAUCACAACACAGGUCACAGAUAUGGACGCUUGCGGCUGCUGUUGCAUAAAGUCUUGAAAUGAACUUACAAGAGGGAUUAGGAGACAACGAUGAAAUUCAUAGGAUGAGUGGUGGAGAAGGUUCUGAGCUUGAGCAAAUUAAUUUAAGCAAUAUUGGAGCACACAAUGGUGUUACCAAUUCAAGUAGGAAACGGAAGAGAGGUGAACAUGGUGAGAGAAAUAAAGAGAAGAAAAGGGAGAAACUGUCAGUCAAGAGGGAAAUAGUUGAUGCAUUGAAUCGAAUAUCUGAUGCAUUUGAGUCACAAACAGCUUCUAUACAGUCACUUCUUACACCUGAUUCCUCUAUGGGUGAAAUUAUUGCUGAAAUCAGUCAAAUUGAGGAGAUUGCAAAUGAUGAUGAUUGGUUUGGACGGUGUUGUACUCUCCUAAGGAAUAAGGAUGCAUGGGCAAUUUAUUCAGCACUUAAAGAUAACCGGAGAAUGCUAUUGGCCUUCUUGAAGCAUGCGGCGUACAACCCACCAAAAAACUUAGUACCACCUUUUCUUCGUUAUAUAUUAUAGUUACAACUUGGUAGAAGUGAUUUAUUUUACAUCUUGUUCUGUGUUAGUUCUACGCUCCAUAAAUGAUCUUUGUUAAAAACUGGCUGACAAAACUAUGUAUGUUUUGUCUUGCAUGGUAUUUAUGCUAGUGAUGUUUUGAGUUAUCAA